rnacentral:lncRNA from 1 species
AAGGAUUAAUUUUUCCCUUCCAGUUUGGGUCUUCUGGUAGGGAUGAAGUAUGAAGUGACACUUUCAUGACAGUGCGACAUAGGUGGCGGGCAUGUUCCGAAUUGAGACAGAUACUUACGGAGUAAGAAUGUAUACAGGGUACGUUCAGUAUGUUGAUUUAAAUGAAAAAA